AUUUUACGCAACUUUUGUUAGACUUUUUCAAAACGAAUAUUUUUGCAGCAGGCAAACUGCGCGGGUGCAGCAUUUUGCGGCCGGAGGUACUAUAUGAGAGAGAAAUCUCUUAGGAAUAGUGAGAGCCUCUGUGUGCAUGUGAGUUCACACAAUAUACCUCCGAAUUCCGAUGGAAUAAGAAGAUUUAUAUGAAUUUUAUAUAAACUUUAUAUAAACUUUAUACAAACACUUCCUAUUUCUUGGCCCUGCGAUUUAUCGCUCAAGUCUCGGGCAGACAACGUCUCCCCGAGCAAGGUGAAACAGUGGAUUACUAGGCAAUGCCAAAAUCUACAAACUCACAGAUCUUUAGAUCUUUUUGCUACGAGUCAGUGGACAAUCUUUAAUUAAUAACUUCUUA
rnacentral:misc_RNA from 1 species